GACGAACGCUGGCGGCGUGCCUAAUACAUGCAAGUAGAACGCACAGUUUAUACCGUAGCUUGCUACACCAUAGACUGUGAGUUGCGAACGGGUGAGUAACGCGUAGGUAACCUGCCUGGUAGCGGGGGAUAACUAUUGGAAACGAUAGCUAAUACCGCAUAAUAUUAAUUAUUGCAUGAUAAUUAAUUGAAAGGUGCAAUUGCACCACUACCAGAUGGACCUGCGUUGUAUUAGCUAGUAGGUGAGGUAACGGCUCACCUAGGCGACGAUACAUAGCCGACCUGAGAGGGUGAUCGGCCACCCUGGGACUGAGACCCGGCCCAGACUCCUACGGGAGGCAGCAGUAGGGAAUCUUCGGCAAUGGACGAAAGUCUGACCGAGCAACGCCGCGUGAGUGCAGAAGGUUUUCGGAUCGUAAAGCUCUGUUGUAAGAGAAGAACGGGUGUGAGAGUGGAAAGUUCACACUGUGACGGUAUCUUACCAGAAAGGGACGGCUAACUACGUG
rnacentral:rRNA from 1 species